GACCUACAGAUGGAAGUCCUUUAUUUAUCCACAGGACAGGUAUAGUACAAGCAGUAGCAAUAACAGUUUCCCUACCCUGCUCUGUCAUGCUUUAUGCUUGACCUAAAAAGGGACCACCAAGAAGUAAAUGCAAAAAACCAAAUGAUAGCUGGGCUGGACUACA
ensembl:misc_RNA